rnacentral:lncRNA from 1 species
UUACCCUCCCCAGACCCCACCUGGUGGGAGUAUACUGGGUAAUUGUUGUUGUUGUACAGUAUUUUUUCCGGCAAACACAGUUCUUUCAGCGAAUUGUCAGCUGAUUUUUUUUUAUUAUUUGGUAAUAAUCCAACCAUGUCUUUGGGAGUCAAUGCUUUCGGGCCUAAAAACUCGACUUCUGGCAAUUCCGGUGUUAUGAUUACCUCAGAACCUU